GGCGCGUUUUAAGCAUGCAAGUCGAACGGUAGAGUUCCUUCGGGAGCUUGAGAGUGGCGAACGGGUGAGUAACACGUAGAUGAUCUGCCUUGAAGUUGGGGAUAGCCCAUAGAAAUAUGGGGUAAUACCGGAUAAUCUCUUAGAACUUUGGUUUUUUGAGGAAAGGGGCUUCGGCCUCGCUUUGAGAUGAGUCUGCGGCUUAUUAGCUAGUUGGUAGGGUAAAGGCCUACCAAGGCGACGAUAAGUAGCCGGCCUGAGAGGGUGACCGGCCACAUUGGGACUGAGACACGGCCCAAACUCCUACGGGAGGCAGCAGCUAAGAAUCUUCCGCAAUGGGCGCAAGCCUGACGGAGCGACGCCGCGUGGACGAAGAAUGCCGAGAGGUUGUAAAGUCCUUUUAUAUGCGAAGAAUAAUGCCUGUAGGUAAUGACAGGCAGAUGACGUUAGCUUAUGAAUAAGCUCCGGCCAAUUACGUGCCAGCAGCCGCGGUAACACGUAAGGAGCGAGCGUUGUUCGGAAUUAUUGGGCGUAAAGGGCAUGUAGGCGGUUACAUAAGUCCGAUGUGAAAUACUACAGCUUAACUGUGGAAACGCAUUGGAAACUGUGUGACUUGAAUCAGUAAGGGGUAACCGGAAUUCCUAGUGUAGGGCUGAAAUGCGUAGAUAUUGGGAAGAACAUCGGUGGCGAAGGCGCGCUACUGGACCGAAACUGACACUCAGGGACGAAAGCUAGGGGAGCGAAAGGGAUUAGAUACCCCUGUAGUCCUAGCUGUAAACGAUGGAAACUAGGUGUGGCUUGUAUCGACCCGAGCCGUGCCGUAGCUAACGCGUUAAGUUUCCCGCCUGGGGAGUACGCACGCAAGUGUGAAACUCAAAGGAAUUGACGGGGGCCCGCACAAGCGGUGGAGUAUGUGGUUUAAUUCGAUGCAACGCGAAGAACCUUACCAGGGCUUGACAUGUCGCGAAUCUCCUUGAAAGGGGAGAGUGCCUUCGGGAGCGCGAACACAGGUGGUGCAUGGCUGUCGUCAGCUCGUGUCGUGAGAUGUUGGGUUAAGUCCCGCAACGAGCGCAACCCUCGUCUUUAGUUGCCAGCAUUAAGGUGGGCACUUUAGAGAGACUGCCGGUGACAAACCGGAGGAAGGUGGGGAUGACGUCAAGUCAGCAUGCCCCUUACGCCCUGGGCUACACACGUACUACAAUGGUUGGGACAAAGGGCAGCGACCCCGCGAGGGAAAGCGAAUCUCAUCAAACCCAGCCUCAGUUCAGAUUGCAGGCUGCAACUCGCCUGCAUGAAGGAGGAAUCGCUAGUAAUCGCAGGUCAGCAUACUGCGGUGAAUUCGUUCCCGGGCCUUGUACACACCGCCCGUCACACCAUGGAAGCUGGUCACGCCCGAAGUAGUUACCCU
rnacentral:rRNA from 1 species